AGAUCAAAGAGAGACACAGAAGGUGAGACUGGGGAGAGAGAUAAUGUAAAAGGAAGAAAGAGUACAAGAGGAAGUGAGAGGAUGCAGAGAGGCUGGCAGGGCUGAGAAAAGGAUCUAGAGGCUCAAGCAACAAGGAGGUGCAGGGAAAGGGUGGAGCAUGGCCACUGAGGAGAGACAGAGCCAGAGAACUGGAGGAUGCAAGUGAGAAAGGGAUGUGGAGGAGAGUGUAGAAUCAGGCUGCUUGAGGAAUAGUAGGCUGCCUACAGCAAAGACUAGAUGGCUGUAUGUCAGGAGGUAAAUAGAGAGGAUUCAGGUUAUGAAAGGGUAAACCGAUAAGAUGACCGUUAAGGUUUUGUUGUUUUACUGAGAGGCUGUAAAUCCACCAGGGGAAGCUGUCACUAAGGCUGCAGAGGGGCUGGAGAGCUACACAGGGAAGAUCAGAACUACUGUUGUAAACAAUGCCGCUGGGUUAGGGUCUCCCCGACUGAGCUGGUAUCAGCAAAUGGCAUCCAUCAUGGGGACUCAAAUCCAGGUCAAAGGUUUGCCAGAGGGAUGGUUGGAGAACAUGGAACUAGCUAGAGGACACCUGAGUACUCUUAAAGCAAUCCCUGUGGCCAAAAUCAACAGCCAAUUUGGAUACCAUCAAGACAAAUGAAACCUUAUCAUGAGCCAGAUUCUGGGAGGAUCCCGAGGACCCCUCAGUUGAAGCCAUGUCAAGACUGACGUUGAGGAAGACCCCAGCUUUCACGAGCAACACCCGUUUAACACAGCCACCCACCUGGGGAGAGAUCACGAAGCUGUCACAGAUUGUGGAAGAAAACCUGAGAAAAGCAGGACAACCAGUCACAAUGAGUAAUUUAAUGUCUGCAGAUGUGGAUCCUGACUCCUGUGAGAAGUAGCUCACCAUGACAAAGCUGCCUUUGCUUUUAUCGCUUUGCAAAUCAAAUAAGGGGGACAUGUAGGGAACAGGCCCCCCCCAAAAUCUGGCCAUAAACUGGCCACAAAACUGGCCAUAAAC
rnacentral:lncRNA from 1 species